GAACUUAAUUAAUGUGGGAUGAAUCUAAUUUAAUUCUGUCCUAAGCAUUGAUCUCCCAGGACACAGAAGGAGAAAUGAGAGCUCUGAUAGGUAUCAAUAGCUGGGCGCCAGAAUUGUUCACAGAAAAAGAAGAAAGUAAAUGGAUUGUGGUAAAGUACUUGUUAUCACAAGAGAAUACCGUUCUCCUGUCUGCUUCCUCUCCAGCGCUUUGCCCUCUAUUCUUGACUGCUGGUCACACUGUGGUUUGCAGUAAGGCAGUAUUUCAGCAAAGCUGCUGUGAUUGGCCCCAUAUGUCUUUGGUACUACUGCUUUAGAAAAGGCUGUCCCAGGAAAAGGGACAGGAGAAAUGCACAGGAAACAAUCCAUCUUCUUGGUGGGUUCUUUCAUCGCUGCAGAAUUCCUUUUGAACUCGGGUUCCAGAUUCAUGCUCUCAGCUCCGUUAUAGCUGUCAUUUUUCUUUCAUUGGAAUUCCUGACCUCUCCCUCCUGACUCUUUCUUUUACACAGGUUGCAGAGUUUUCCCAGCCUGCUUUGCUCUUGAGAAGAGUUCUUCCUUAUUCCAGUCGGUGGCAUACAGCGGGCAAAAUGGUUCUGUAUUCAGAUAGCGAUUUCUGCUUUGUUAUACUGCAUGUUUGCAAUACCGCAUUUUUUACAAGAACCCACCAUGAACAAUGGAGAGUGGGCGGAUGUGGUACAAUGUCAGUCCUCGACCAAUAUACGUAUGUGCAAUUGUAUCGUACAGCUUGCUUCUGCAGGAAAGUUGGAAAGUCAAGAGAUGCUCUGAAAAUAGUUUAUUUCUUUUUUCUCUCUUAUUUUUUUUCGUUCUCUUUUUUCUAAAAUUUUGGCUAAAACCUGCCAAAAUGCCAAACUUUAUUUAAUUUUUCUAGCCUGGGGUUGCAGGGAGGUGUCUGUUUACUUUUUCUUGAGAAUAUCUCCACAAAUUCAGGCAAAGUAGAGUUUAUUUUCACAUGGAAGUUUCCCUUUGGCUGAAAAAGAGCUUUUUUUCUCACUACCUAACCAUUUGAACAAAAAAUUUUCAACUGCUUUCAAGUCAGGAAACUUUAAUUGAUAAAAGUCACUGAUUCCGUUUCAAGGGAAGUUUCUGAGGUUGCCUUUUUCUGUGUUCCUGGCUUUAGCAGCUGCUUCCCUGAAUCACACCAAUGUCAUCUCUGCGUAAUGCCUGGUAGAUGGACUCUGUUCCCUGGUGUUUGGCUUGUUUCCUGCUGUAGCAUCUUAAUGAACCGUGAGGAGCUCAAGUAGUCUUUCCUCUUCUCUCAGAGAUUAAUAGAGGAGCCUGGAGCACUUGGCCUAAUUUACUGUUGCUGGAGAGCACAUGCCCAUGUGUGAAGAGUGAUGAGUUUUCUCUCCCUGGAGCUGGGGUUAUGCUCAGUGGCAAACAGAACUAAAAAAUUCUUUACUAGCCCUUUGUAUUUCUUCAGCCAUUCAUCAAUCUUCAGACUUAUCUUUCUCGGUAAUUUUAACUUGUCUCUCCCUCUGUUGAGGCCAUGGCACCCAACUGUCAAUGUCAGCUUGGCUGAGUAUGUCUGCUUUGACUGCAGGCUGGGCUGAAUGGUAAGCCUAAGCAGCAGGGGCUUAAGGGAGGUGGCUAGAGAUCUGCUGCAAACAGUUUCUUCUUUCUCUCAUCCCUUCUAGACAUUCUAGUUAGUUGGCUUGUCAUCAGAUAUCGGUAUAUGAAUAUACAUGCACAUGCUUUCAGGGCAUCAUUUUAAGUGCUUCUGUACUGAACUGUAUGGAAAUACUUAGAGACCUGGUCACCAUUUCGGUAAAAGUGGCUCUCCCCUCUGCACAUUAGCCAAUUGAGCUCUCUACUGUUUGUUGCCAACUGGCAGGAAAAUGCUGCACCUAGCACAGCCUCCCAGAGCUCCAGGCAGGGAGCAUGUACCACAGCUAUGCUCUCUGUAAGGGAUUAGCAGAUCUUGCAGCAGAGCUGAGCUGAGAACUUCAUUUCAUUUACUGUAAUGAAAUCUCUGCCUGGCUGCUAAAUGAAUUCCAACUCUUAUUUUUCACAGCUAUGUUAUUAGGUUCAUCCUGUGCACAGAGGCUCAGGUCCUGCAGGCUUCUCUUCAUGUUUCUCUGGCUCGCUGGUGCAGCUUGUUGUCACCUCACUCUGCUGGGGGUGCUGGCACAUCAGAGGCCCUACAGUAUAGCACCAUGCCUGCUGGCUACUCUAGCCUGAUGAACAGGAGAAGUAAACAAUGGAUCUGAUGGCAGAAUGGAACACAACUUCUUGUAUGGAGAGAGAAAGGGAAGCUGAAUGGGAGGAGCAGAAGUAAAGACCAUUUUGAUGCGGGUGACUGGGAGUAAAGGCAGGAUCUGCCUACAGAGAUGCUGCGUCUUUAAGAUGAAUCAAUCUUUCACUUUCCAGGCUACUGAGCCAGUGGGUAUCCCCGAGGCAAGAGAGGACAGUGCAAAGCUGGGAGCCGAGGGUGCAUAGGAGGCUGAACUGCAGCAGCCAGUCCACCUGACAUGAGGGGAGAGAGUGCAGGAAUAGCGCUUGCUCAGUUUUCCACCCAUCUGGAGGGAGUUUAUCUGUGCAGAUUCACAGCCAUCAGAGAGAACCUUUCUGACUGUCCUUCCCUUGUCUCCCUCAGCCUCUCAUGGUGCCAUUGUGGGAGAGGCAGGAACCGAGUCAGUCUCUCUCCACCACUGCAUAGGGCUGGAUGCUGCUGCUUGCAUGCAGCACCCAUGGGACAAGGGAGAGGGGUAAGCAAGAAAGACUGCCCCACCACCGCUUGCUGCAAAUCUGCAACUCCAAAACAGUCUUUUAAUGAACUGACGAGCUGA